CUCUACCUAGUAGGGACUGUCCAGCUGUCUAAAGAAUAGCUGUUAGCAAGAGCCGGGCAAGACCGGUGCCAGCCGCCGUGGUAAUACCGGCGGCUCGAGUGGUGAUCGCUAUUAUUGGGUCUAAAGCGUUCGUAGCCGGCUUGAUAAGUUCCUCGGGAAAUCUGGCGGCUUAACCGUCAGGCUGCUGAGGGAUACUGUCAGGCUUGAGACCGGGAGAGGCUAGAGGUAUCUCGGGGGUAGGGGUGAAAUCCUGUGAUCCUUGAGGGACCACCAGUGGCAAAGGCGUCUACCUAUAACGGAUCUGACGGUGAGGGACUAAAGCUAGGGUCACGAACCGGAUUAAAUACCCGGGUA
rnacentral:rRNA from 1 species